UGAUACAAAAGAUCUUAUUUUUCUCUCAUUCCCUCAUCCACAAGCAAUGGGCUUGGAUGUUUGCAUUGCUUUACUCUUGAGCUGAUAACGUCUGAUUUCUAUUUAGACUAUGUUUUUCCCCAGAGAAGGAUGUUUAUGAAGACCUACCCUUUUAAAGCACAGGCCUGACAUAACUCUGCAGCUGUGCUGAAAAUUCUUGAUCACUGCACGUUUCCUGAAUGUGGGAGGUCAGUGUCCUGUACCCCGACCCCCAUCAUCACAGGGACUCCAUCUCCUGUACCGUUGUCUGGCCCAGAUUCAAAGGGAUCCAUGAGGAUAACACAGCAGUACCUGGGACUUCAGGACAUUCAGAAUUGAAUUACCAAGAAGAGUUCAGAGCAAGGAAGAGUCUAACACUGUGUCUGUAAAUCUGGGCUCCUUUCAGCUCCUUUGUCAUACUUCCCUUCAGACUGGAGUGCAAUUGAUCCGAUAGUUUACCUUGGAUCUUAAGUGGAAGACAGAACAGACUGGUCUGAAUGUCUACGCUGGGUCAUGGAUCAUGGAUGGCUCCAGAUGCAUCCUUUCUUUACAGGAAGUCUGUGUUUUGCAGGGAGCACACCGCUUCAACUCCAGUCCAUGCUGCAGUUGGGAAGGGGGGAUGAGUACAGCUUGUGGCAGCAGGCAGCUCUUCUCUUCCUUGGGAUCAAGAAAUAGGUGUUUUGCCCAGGGCUUAUUGCCUGUAGCUGAUAACCUGCAUUAUUGGGAAAGAUAACCACUGUGCAGAGACAUGAACUAGGGAUGACCCUGUAUGUUUUCAUUGGCACAUUUCACCAAAUCAGUGAAUUGCAGUCACACAGCCUGGCUGUACAAGAGAUGCUUGUGGAGUUUUCAGUAUAAUUUUCAUUCCUACACAUAAACUAGUAACCUCUCAGUCCUUGCAUCUGUGGCACUCCCUGGGAGAGGGAGGAUCUAAUGCGUGAAAUGUAGCACUCUCACAGCAGGAGGUUAUACAUAGAGGAAAACUAGAAUGGCAUUGCCCGUGAGCUGGAAAGCAGUAGAAAUAGAUUAUCUGCUGAGAGAGGGCUGCAGACAGAACUUCAGAGUGAGAAUGAGGAUAGCAACCAAAGGAAUUGCAAUUGUCGGCUCUAAAAAGGACACUGCAGCCCUGUUGUCAAAAGCUGGAAGGAGGCCUGCAAUAGAAAAAGGAGGAAAGAUAAGGCCAGUGAUGAAAAUCUAAUAUCGACAUCUGCAUACUGGUGGGAUAGUAAAAAAACCUGAUUUUGUGCAUAAGUGUGGUGUUGAACUGAUGUGAAUCCAGCCCUUCUAUUUUUUCCCAGUGUUGUCAAAUUUCAAAGCUUCCAACAUGGAUCACAUUGCAAAAGCAUCACAAAACCAGUUUUAAGCCACUGAGGACUAAAGGGGAAAAAAUGUUUAGAAAUGCCAAUAUUUUAAUAAACUUUUAAGGUCUGUAGGGUGUAGUCUAGUUGAGUUUUUCAACUACUUCAUCAUAACUAUAAGAACUGGAAUAGUUUUAUUUCCUUACUUUCACAAAACAGAGAAUGAAAGGAGCCUGGUUUGUAAAGACCUAUUUGUACAUGUUCAAAAAGAGUUAAAGGCUAAAGUAAUGUUACUUGGAAGAACGCAAUUAUAAGGAGAUAUUUAUGGGUAGAAUGUAAGCAAUUAAUUGAGGAAACAGUAAAAAAUUUUGAAUGUUGUUUGUGAUUAUGAAAACAAUAAAGUGUCAGAAAUCUUUGACCACUGAAUCAAACCAGCCUGCCCCUUUGUUCACAUUUAGUCAACUUUCUUAGCCCUACCACACACUGGAACCACACCAAAUUCUUGUGAUCCCACAUUGCCGCAACUUUCCCACAUAGUGUCAUGAAGCUUCAUAUGUUUUUUCACCUUUUUAUUUGUCAUUUGUAUUGAAUCAUCCA